rnacentral:rRNA from 1 species
UACGUAGGGUGCGAGCGUUGUCCGGAAUUAUUGGGCGUAAAGAGCUUGUAGGUGGCUCGUCGCGUCGGGAGUGAAAACCCGCGGCUUAACCGCGGGCCUGCUUUCGAUACGGGCGGGCUAGAGUUCGGCAGGGGAGACUGGAAUUCCUGGUGUAGCGGUGGAAUGCGCAGAUAUCAGGAGGAACACCGGUGGCGAAGGCGGCUCUCUGGGCCGAUACUGACACUGAGAAGCGAAAGCGUGGGGAGCGAACAGG